GCGGGAGUAGCUCAGUUGGUAGAGCACAACCUUGCCAAGGUUGGGGUCGCGGGUUCGAGUCUCGUCUCCCGCUC
rnacentral:tRNA from 1 species